GCCUACAGCCACAUCACCCUGAACGUGCCUGAUCCCAUCUGAUCUCGGAAGCUAAGCAGGGUGGGGCCUGGUUAGUACUUGGAUGGGAGACCACAUAGGCUCACCUCUGCGGGGCAGGGA
ensembl:rRNA 5S_rRNA 5S ribosomal RNA